UGAGGGAAAGGCGAAAAGAACCCCGGCGAGGGGAGUGAAAAAGAACCUGAAACCGUGUACGUACAAGCAGUGGGAGCACGCUUCGGCGUGUGACUGCGUACCUUUUGUAUAAUGGGUCAGCGACUUAUAUUCUGUAGCAAGGUUAACCGAAUAGGGGAGCCGAAGGGAAACCGAGUCUUAACUGGGCGUUAAGUUGCAGGGUAUAGACCCGAAACCCGGUGAUCUAGCCAUGGGCAGGUUGAAGGUUGGGUAACACUAACUGGAGGACCGAACCGACUAAUGUUGAAAAAUUAGCGGAUGACUUGUGGCUGGGGGUGAAAGGCCAAUCAAACCGGGAGAUAGCUGGUUCUCCCCGAAAGCUAUUUAGGUAGCGCCUCGUGAAUUCAUCUCCGGGGGUAGAGCACUGUUUCGGCAAGGGGGUCAUCCCGACUUACCAACCCGAUGCAAACUGCGAAUACCGGAGAAUGUUAUUACGGGAGACACACGGCGGGUGCUAACGUCCGUCGUGAAGAGGGAAACAACCCAGACCGCCAGCUAAGGUCCCAAAGUCAUGGUUAAGUGGGAAACGAUGUGGGAAGGCCCAGACAGCCAGGAUGUUGGCUUAGAAGCAGCCAUCAUUUAAAGAAAGCGUAAUAGCUCACUGGUCGAGUCGGCCUGCGCGGAAGAUGUAACGGGGCUAAACCAUGCACCGAAGCUGCGGCAGCGACACUAUGUGUUGUUGGGUAGGGGAGCGUUCUGUAAGCCUGUGAAGGUGUGCUGUGAGGCAUGCUGGAGGUAUCAGAAGUGCGAAUGCUGACAUAAGUAACGAUAAAGCGGGUGAAAAGCCCGCUCGCCGGAAGACC
rnacentral:rRNA from 1 species